CAGCCGCCACGGUAAUACGAAGGGGGCUAGCGCUGUUCGGAAUUACUGGGCGUAAAGCGCACGUAGGCGGAUAUUUAAGUCAGGGGUGAAAUCCCAAAGCUCAACCUUGGAACUGCCUUUGAUACUGUUUGUCUUGAGUUCGAGAGAGGUAAGUGGAACUGCGAGUGUAGAGGUGAAAUUCGUAGAUAUUCGCAAGAACACCAGUGGCGAAGGCGGCUUACUGGCUCGAAACUGACGCUGAGGCGCGAAAGCGUGGGGAGCAAACAGGAUUAGAUACCCCCGUAGUCCCUGUCUCUUAUAC
rnacentral:rRNA from 1 species